CUCCUCUCUCUGGAACCUUAAGGGAUUUCUUAAUUUCCCUUUCAGUCAGGUGAAAUUUUUUCUUACAUCACAUCUUCCUUCUUUCUUUUUCUAGGGCUCAUAAGUAAAGCUCUGGAAUCCAAAUCUAGCAGGCUUGCCUCUUGUUAAGUAAAGGCAAGCUUUACAAUUAGAAGGGUCUUUUCUUUUUCAAAGGCUUGGCUUUGAAGGUAUCGUCACACUGUAGACUCAGAACGUCAGCUUUUCAACUCAGAGCUAAAUGCUAACUUCUGAGGCGUUUGAGUAUGUGCCCACCUUCUCUUUUCCUGUGGCAAUCAACUGUAAAGGUCCAAGGAAUUUACAGAAACAGGAGUUGCCAGGGAUUAAUGUUUGAAGGGAAGAGGAAGAAAGACUGGUUUAAUAUUUAAAGCUCUACUGAGCUUACAGGAGAACUCACUGUGGCCCAUCAGCUAUAUGCCAGGCACAGUGUUAAGUGUUGCUGUUCCUUCCUUCCUUUCAUCCUCACAGCUCCCAAGGACACUAAAGGACACUGAAGACACUAAAGCUUAUAGAACUUACUGAUAGCACUGAAAAUCACAUAGCUAAAGACCAGUGGAGCCAGUAUUGGAGCCCAUGGGCUCUGCCUUGACAGCUUGCAGGGUGACUGACUUGUGUCAGAGAGAGAACAGAGAGGUGAGGACAUGGAAAUCCACAUCACGUCCAAGAGCACACUCCAUAAAUCUCAUCACACCCUGAUUUCUAUAUUUUUCACUCAAGUUUUCAUGCCCCCCUGAAACACAUCAGGCAAAUCCAAAUACUGCUCAUUGGAAGAGAAGAUGGCUCACAAUCUGGCAGGAGGAGAUAGGAAGAGGAAGGCAUAGGACGUCCACAGAAUUCCAACUCCUGGGAAACAGACUUGCUGGUAGUAAAAACAGAUGAAGACUCCAAAUGAAAACAAGAGAACUAGAGGAGAAAAAUGGAGCAAGAAUAUUACACAAGAAAACAAGAGUAGUUUAAAAUACAUAGAGCAGAGGAGGACGACAGAGCCCACAGGACUGUGGAGAGAGAACUCAAGAACUUUAAGAAGCAGGAAAGAUGGCUUGAGGAAAGAAAUGACUUCUUUGUCUCCGUGUGUGAAGCUGGGUAAGUGGGCACAGAUGCCAGAGACAGGCCCACUUGCCAAAGGAGGAAGAAAUAGAAAAUUGGUUUCCUGCCAGAACAGGUGGCGUGCUGACAUGCGCAUGUAUGACAUGUUUCUGAAGCUCUCCAAGGGGCUGCCCAGGCCAGCUGAAGUUGUCUCCAAGACUUCAGGGAGAGGCGCCGCAGGGGGCCCCAGCGAUACUGUUUCAGGAAACUUGAAGAGGUUAGCAGCAACCACCUCCUGGAGAAGAAAUCAAACCAGUUGUCUGGGUCUGGGAGGCAACUAGUUUAUAUCUGUCCUUCAGAUGAUAUUUACAAUGAUUUUUUUUGUCUUUGAAUUCUAAGGUAAGGGUAAAGAAAAAGAUGUAAGUGCUUUCAAACCUCUCUUAGCUGAUAUCAACUUGAAAUUUAAAAGUCCCAGAACACCUCAAUAGGAGAGGUCUGGGGGCUGCAAUCUGGUUAGGAGGGUGUAGGUAUGGGAAUCUCACCCUGGAGCCUAGUUUACACAGCACUUCAUAUACGUCUGAGAAAACAUCAGCUGUCCAUAUUUUUAAAAGGACAGAGGCGAUGUGGGGGGGAGGGCAGCAGUGGGAAUAGUGGUACUGGGGGGACUCUCAGCACUCCUUCCAAGCCACUCCUUAGUUCUCUUCCUGACCCGACAGCACCGCACUUUGGACUUAAUAUUUUGGGGCUGAUGUUUCCAGAAGCAAAAGGAAACACUCAAAUACUGGUUAGGCAAAAAGCGGCAAUUAAAGGUAAAUCUUUGCUAAAAGGAUGCAGACAUCAAGCAUGCCAAACUCACAGGUUGGUUAAAAGCCCAGGUUAUUUGGCUGUGAUACAUUUUUUUUCCCCAUGGCAAUAUUUUAUAAUAUUGGCUCUCCUCCCAAAGAUGACAGAGCAUCAUGUGAGUGUUCACAGAAGACUUCACUCUGCAGAUAGUCCAGGGAUAGCAGUCUCCUAGAAAGGCAAGUUAAAAAAUGCGAUAGAUUUAUUUUGGCUGAAUAUUGCCUAGUACAGGAUGGAAUGAUCUUACUACAAAAAGAUAGGAGGUAGCCUUAGACUGUCACGAAUAACACAACUGUGCAGAUGUCUGUUGAUUUACAAACCAGUUCAAAUUAACGUUAAAAAGAUAUCCCUCCUGCUCUAAUUUCAGAGGAGACCCGUGGACAACAAACUUUAAAUUUAUAAAUGGAACAUAUUUAAGACAUCUGCUGCUUAGCAAUCACUGAAGUUUAUUACAUUAGUAGGUUAUAACUUCCAAAGACAAUUAUCUUUUUUAAUAAAACCAAGAGUGGUGGGAAGACUCUAAUAUGG
ensembl:lncRNA